CCCCAGGUCAGGCGGGACUACCCGCUGAGUUUAAGCAUAUAAAUAAGCGGAGGAGAAGAAACUUACGAGGAUUCCCCUAGUAACGGCGAGCGAACCGGGAGAUGCCCAGCUUGAGAAUCGGGCGGCCGCGCCGUCCGAAUUGUAGUCUGGAUUAGAGUCCUCAGCGACGGACCGAGCCCAACUCCCAUGGAAAGGGGCACCUAGGAGGGUGAGAGCCCCAUUCGGCAUGGACCCGGUCGCCCCAUGAGGCGCCGUCAACGAGAUUGGAUGUUUGGGAAUGCAGCCCAAAUCGGGCGGUAAACUCCGUCCGAGGCUAAAUACAGCGAGAGAUCGAUAGCAAACAAGCACCACGAGGGAAAGAUGAAAAUGACAUUGAAAAGAGAGUCAAAAAGUGCUUGAAAUCUCCGGGAGAGAAGCAGAUGAGGGCCGACGAUGCGCCCUGGCCGUAUGCAGAACGGCUUCGGCUGGUCUACGAAUUGGCUCGGGGCGCGGACUGUUGUUGGCUGCGCCGGCGGCCAAAGCCUGGGGGCCUCGCGCCUCCGGUAGCCAUCGUCGGCGCAGCCGGUCACCGCGCCCCUCGGGGCACUGCGUUGCAACGGCCUGCAGGCUCCCCAUCCAACCUAUCUUGAAACACGGACCACGGAGUCUGACAUGCAUGCGAGUCGACGGGUUUUGAAACCUGGAAUACGCAAGGAAUCUGACAAGUGGCAGGCCCUCGCGGGCCAUACCUCUGGCCGCCCUGAUCUUCUGUGAAGGGUUCGAAUUGGAGCACGCAUGUCGGGACCCGAAAGACGGUGAACUAUGCCUGAGCGGGGCGAAGCCAGAGGAAACUCUGGUGGAGGCUCGAAGCGAUACUGACGUGCAAAUCGUUCGUCUGACUUGGGUAUAGGGGCGAAAGACUAAUCGAACCAUCUAGUAGCUGGUUCCCUCCGAAGUUUCCCUC
rnacentral:rRNA from 1 species